rfam:Caprine arthritis encephalitis virus Roccaverano, complete genome.
AGGGGGCCACGUGUGGUGCCGUCCGCACCCCCUAUGCAGUAACGGAUGCACCAC